rnacentral:lncRNA from 1 species
UGUCAUAUAACAAGGGAGCUCCCAUAAGAUUAUCAGCAGAUUUGUCAGCAGAAACAUUACAGUACAAAAGGGAGUGGGGUGAUACAGUUCAAGUGUUGUUAAAAAUAAAAAUACACCCAGCCAGCCAAGAAUACUGUAGCUGGCAAAACCAUCUUUCAAAAAUGAACAAAUAAAGACCUUCCCAGAUAACCAAAGCCAAAGAAGUUCACCACCACUAGAUCUACCUUGUAAGAAAUGCUAAAGAGAUUCUUUGAAGCUGAAGUGAAAGGAUGCUAAAUAGCAAUAUAAAAGUAUAUGAAAAAACUCUCUGGUAAAGGGAAAUAUGUGGACAAAAACAGAAUCCUAUAAUAUAGUAAUGGUGGUGAGCAAACAACUUUAAAUUCUGGUAUAGAAUUAGACAAAAGCAUAAAAAUAACUAAAACUAUGUUAAUAGAUAAAAAUAUAAAAUACUCGAUUUGGUUUUUUAAUUUUUAAUUUUCGUGGGAUCAUAGUAGGUGUGUAUAUUUAGGGGAUGUGAUGGUUAAUACUGAGUGUCAACUUGAUUGGAUUGAAGGAUGCAAAGUAUUGAUCCUGGGGUAUGUCUAUGAGGGUGUUGCCAAAGGAGGUUAACAUUUGAAUCCUUGGACUGGGAAAGGCAGACCCACCGCCAAUCUGAGUGGGCAUCAUCUCAUCAGCUGCUGGCACAGCCAGGAUAUAAAGCAGACAGAAAACAUGAAAAGGCUAGACUGGCCUAGCCUCCCAGCCUAUAUCUUUCUCCUGUGCUGGAUGCUUCCUGCCCUCAAACAUCAGACUCCCAAGUUCUUCAGUUUUGGGACUCGGACUGGCUUCCUUGCUCCUCAGCUUGCAGACAUCCUGUUGUGGGACCUUGUGAUUGUGUUCAGGGAGCAAGUUUCCGAGGUUGGAAAGAAGUGACUUCACUGUUUAACAAAGAUGAUGAGCAGCAUCUCCUGGAAAGAUGUAAAUCUCCCAAGUCCAAAGGGUAAGUCAUAACUGUGUAAGAAAAUGAUCAUUUCAGGAGAGGGAGGAAGUCACUGAGGAGGUGGAAAUGAAGAUUUGAUGGCAUAAAUGCAGUGUAACUGGAGGCAUUGUGGGGCGCGGCGAGUCCAUGUUUCCCUCCCCACUCCGUCUGUCCCUGUUGAGUGGCAGACGGUCAUGGACUUCAUGAUGUGUGCUUCGGAGUUAACAUCCAUCCCUUGUGAAUAAACAGAAAUGGGCUGGGCAUGGUGGCUCAUGCCUGUAAUCCCAGCACUUUGGGAGGCCAAGGCAGGCAGAUCACAAGGUCAGGAGUUCAAGACCAGCCUGGCCAACAUGGUGAAACCCCGUCUAUACU